rnacentral:tRNA from 1 species
GGUUGUGGCUCAGUGGUAGAGAGCUUGCCUCACACUCAUGAGGCCCUGGGUUCGAUCCUCAGCACCA